UCCCAAACACCACAACAACGACCACCUCCUCCCCCUUCAGACAUCAUCUCCCUCCCCACCACCCCACCCCAUCCCCUCUUCAACAGAGUGCCGCACCCCCCUGCCCUCACCCCUCUCAACCCCGCCUCCCCCACUGGACUGGACCAACGUGGCAGUGAGGGGGGAGGGAGAGGAGGGGGGGGGGGGAUACAGACGCACACUGCUCAAGUGCACUGCCCAACUCGGUUUCCUAUGUUGUUGCUGUUUUUCUGUUGUUGUUUUUCAAGAGGCUAACGGAUGGAAUUGGUUGAGGAGGAGGAGAGGUGUGAGGUUUGGGGCGGGGGGGAGAGCAGGGAGUCACGGACAUGAGACAUCCUGCAGCACUUUGAGAAACAACAGGUGACUUUUAUAUCGUUUCAUUUGUCCUUGGAACAAUUUUAAUUUUUGUCUUCAACUAUGUAAUGAAACAACUGAACUUGUUAUCUUUCUAAAAAAAAUGUAUUUAGGAUAUAUAUAUAUAUAUAUAUACAUAUAUAUAUAUAUAUAUAUAUAUAUAUACACACACAUAUAUAUAUAUGGCCUUGAAUAUUGAGUCUUACACAGGGAAAAGGGAAAGAUGCUGCGCAGUCGGCAUCAACAGCAUCAACUAAAAGCAAUCAUGCAGUCUUCUUCGCUGUCACUGGGGGUGAUAGUGUUACCGUGAUGGACAGGAGUCAGUCCCUGGGUCUUCAUUCAGUGUUACCGUGAUGGACAGGAGUCUGUCCCUGGGUCCUCAUUCAGUGAUGGACAGGAGUCUGUCCCUGGGUCCUCAUUCAGUGUUACCGUGAUGGACAGGAGUCUGUCCCUGGGUCCUCAUUCAGUGAUGGACAGGAGUCUGUCCCUGGGUCCUCAUUCAGUGUUACCGUGAUGGACAGGAGUCUGUCCCUGGGUCCUCAUUCAGUGUUACCGUGAUGGACAGGAGUCUGUUCCUGGGUCUUUAUUCAGUGAUGGACAGGAGUCAGUCCCUGCCUGGGUCUUCAUUCAGUGUUACCGUGAUGGACAGGAGUCUGUCCCUGGGUCUUCAUUCAGUGAUGGACAGGAGUCAGUCCCUGGGUCUUCAUUCAGUGAUGGACAGGAGUCUGUCCCUGCCUGGCUCUUCAUUCAGUGUUACAUUGAUGGACAGGAGUCUGUCCCUGGGCCUCAUCAUUUCCUUUUGACUGUUGUUCGUACUGCUCCACUGUAAUCCUUCACUGCCCCCUGCGCUCAAUGAUAACAUUGUGAGGGGGGUACCUCAGCUUCUCACCGGAACCUCGGGGUGUGGAACUCACCCCGAACGGGACCUAGCGCGCAGCUCCAAAGUACAGAGUCUCUCGUCCUUCUCCUCCCCUACCCAUCCCUCCCCCACGCCUGGGCCGGGGCACACUGGGGCCCCUUGUGGCCAAUCAGUGUCAUCACUGGCAGCUUGCACAGCUUGCCCCCCCCGUCUCUGUCCCCGUCCCCUCCACAUACCUCUCAUUGGCCGAUGACCUCGACGAUGUCACCGCCAGACCACGUUGGCUUUUUUGAAUCUUCGGCGAGUUGCAGAAGGGGUCGAAGGUCAGCGGCUGCGUACUGUCACAGUCAUCGAUUGCUUGAUGUACAAGCAGGCUUGGUACAUUUUAUUGCAUACACAGUAGAUCUUUGCAGGUGCAAGAUGAGACAAAAAAAAAGAAAAAGAGUUACUCAUGUCUUGGUGUCUGAGUGUGUGUGUGUAUGGUGUAUGUAAAGAAUUCUAUGAGGAAGUUAAAAUGAGGGUUAUAUAUAUUGCUGUGUAUGUAUCCAGAGAUAUGAAUAUGGAUAUAUAUAUAUAUACACACGGUAUGGAUCCUGUAGUAACCAAUGGGGCGUUGAUGGAUGCACACUGAGAAAGCACAAGACUCACUUGGAGUCCUGAUGUACAGCAAAAUGUAAUUAUUUCAGAGUUCUACAAGAAUGGAUUUUAGCCUAUAAAUAUAUUUCUUACUGUGCUUGGGGAUAGUUGUUCUCAUCGUUAUUAUUCUCUGAAAUAUGAACACAGUUAUUGAGAUAACGCUCACCCCCCCCUCACCCCUUCCUGUCCCCCUCACCCCUCCACAAUGCAGGACUAUAAAGUUGAUCUGCAUCACAACGUAACUGUGUGUACGUGACGGAGUGUGAGUGUGUGUAUGUCGAUGUGUGUUGUUGUGCGUGAGCGCGCGCGUGUGUGUGUGUGUUUGAUAUCACCAACUGUCUCUCUCUGUCUCUCUCUCUCCCUCUCUCUCUCAGAUCUUAGUCCUGGAAUUCAAUACAACCUCCCAUCCCUGUUUUUAUUUCAAUCGGGGCUGCCUCUUUGUUAAUGUACAGUUUUCAGAGCACAAGAUGAAUGUGUCAUAUUUCUAAUAAAAGUAUAUCUACAUUAUAAACCGGUCAAUGAAUCCUGUUACGGAAAUAAGUGCUUUGAAAUGUCUCCAAUCAGAUUUGUGUCAAUUCUUCGGGGGGGAAUGGAAAAAAAGCUUUUUUUGAUGACAUCGUUUUAAACACACAACACAAAUGUCAGCACAUGCAAUUAUGAAUCCCUUUUCAGAUAAGUAACAUUUUAAUAAAAAAAAGGUAAAUGUGUGGCUGCCAGUGGUUAACCUCGGCCGAAUUAGGGGUUUACCACCCCCUGUCAGUUGUGAACGAUUUCCAUGCAAAUCCCUUUCCUCGGCCGCCACAUCCCAUCCUCUCGUUGUUCUUAAUUAGCAUACGUGUUGUUUGAACCCAGUUUAUCUAAAAGCCUGACUUAUUUAUAAGUGCUGGCCUAUGGUACCUCAGAAAAGCCCAUUUAUAUACCAAAUGGAAGAGGAUAGAG
ensembl:lncRNA